AGGGGAUCGUAAGACCUUGCGCUUUUGGAGCGGCCGAUGUCUGAUUAGCUAGUUGGUGGGGUAAUGGCUUACCAAGGCUACGAUCAGUAGUUGGUCUGAGAGGACGACCAGCCACACUGGGACUGAGACACGGCCCAGACUCCUACGGGAGGCAGCAGUGGGGAAUUUUGGACAAUGGGCGCAAGCCUGAUCCAGCCAUGCCGCGUGAGUGAAGAAGGCCUUCGGGUUGUAAAGCUCUUUCAGCCGGGAAGAAAAGACUGCGACUAAUAAUCGCAGUUCAUGACGGUACCGGAAGAAGAAGCACCGGCUAACUACGUGCCAGCAGCCGCGGUAAUACGUAGGGUGCGAGCGUUAAUCGGAAUUACUGGGCGUAAAGGGUGCGCAGGCGGUUUUGUAAGUCAGAUGUGA
rnacentral:rRNA from 1 species